rnacentral:rRNA from 1 species
GACGAACGCUGGCGGCGUGCUUAACACAUGCAAGUCGAACGGAAAGGCCCUGCUUUUGUGGGGUGCUCGAGUGGCGAACGGGGGAGUAACACGUGAGUAACCUGCCCUUGACUUUGGGAUAACUUCAGGAAACUGGGGCUAAUAUCGGAUAGGAGCUCCUGUUGCAUGGUGGGGGUUGGAAAGUUUCGGCGGUUGGGGAUGGACUCGCGGCUUAUCAGUUUGUUGGUGGGGUAGUGGCUUACCAAGGCUUUGACGGGUAGCCGGCCUUAGAGGGUGACCGGCCACAAUGGGACUACGAGACGGCCCAGACUCCAACGGGAGGCAACAGUGGGGAAUAUUGCACAAUGGGCGGAAGCCUGAUGCAGCAACGCCGCGUGCGGGAUGACGGCCUUCGGGUUGUAAACCGCUUUCGCCUGUGACGAAGCGGGAGUGACGGUAAUGGGUAAAGAAGCACCGGCUAACUACGUG